AAGAGAAAAGGGAAGAAAACCAAACAUGAGAUUGAGAUUAAUACAUCUAGGAGGAGGUCGUAGACAUCACUGUGAUCAUUUUGCGGCCUGGGGAGCAAGGAUCCAUGGUUUUUAUAUGCCUUGUCCGGCUGUUGGAGUAGAUGACAUGGAAACAUCAUCUCUACCAUCUCGAUGGCUUAGACCCAGGGAGCCGGAUGUUCAUCUCGGCCCUCCCCACCUUCCAUCAGUGGAUUUUUAUAGUCAGGGUUAAAGACUGAGAGGCCCUAUGCAUGUUCAAAUAUGCGAGUAGCGUAUACAAUACAAAUCAAGAAAAAGAAAAGAGAAGACCAGAAACAUUACAAAAACACAAUUUUGACAAAUUAUCUCUAUUGUAAAAUUGAGGGAGUAACUCAUUAUCCGAGAGAACUGGCCAUUGACAAUUCACUUACAAUUAUCAAAGAGAACUGUAAAUUGCUAACUUAAUUACAUCAUUCUUCACAUAAGCUUCUCACCAAGGAAAUUUCUUGAGUGGAAGGUCACAUUUCAAGCCAUUGCACUUAUAAAACCCAACCUUGUUGUCAUUUAAAUUGCAAACUAAUCAUCAAUAAUGCACAAUAAUUUAUGACCCACAGAUGAUUUGGAGCCUAAGGAGGAGAAAAUAUCAAUGCAAAUAAAUACACAUGUAGUAAGAUGCAUUGCAAUAGUCGUAUUACUUGAAUUUGUAAGCUGACCAGCAAAAUCAGAUCAAUCAUGCAUAGUACACAAAAGAGACAAAGCUUUAACCAUAAUUGGUGCUUAACCUUCUCGCUCCUGCUAAUGAUUUUGGCCAUGAAGGCAUCAGAGUAAGGGGAGGAAGAACGGGAUGGCGCCUGCCGGAAGUUGCCGAUGGGUGUUGACGUCCUGACCAAGCCAUCUCCCUCCAUGAUAGGUGGCAAUCAGCGGAGAGGUGUAAGUAUGACGAGAUGUGAAAAUAAGCUGGAGGAAAUUAAUAUGGACCAGCAAACUGACAAAAGCAAAAUAUAACAUAAUUAUAUUGCAGAGUGUAGUAACAUUAUCAUAUUCCGGAUUAAACUAAUAGCACAACAAUUUACAGGGUUAGAAUGUAGUGCACAUAUAUAUCUUAGUGGCGCAAAAACUAUUUAGCCAACUUCACUAACAAGGUAGAAAUUGGCUUCAGUGUACUAACAUAGUUAUUUCGGAUAUAAGCAAUCAACCACGAAUUUAACAUCAUAGAUAUCUGACCAUUUUAAGUAACGAAAAAGAGCCCAAUAGGAAGAUAACACAACAUGGAGCUGCAUUGACCAGCCCCUUUUAAAGAAAGGCUUUAGGAUCAUAAGUUGUGUAGUUGAUCAACUUGGAAAUAUAAAAGCAUUUCCUUCAAAUCAAUACAACACCUCCGACAAAUGUGAUGUGAUAAGAAAGCAAUGAACAUAUACACUGCUCCACACUUAGUUUUGUAUGUAAAAAUAAAGCCAUGCCAGAUGGUUUUUUGGAUCACAGAAACCCAGCCUGAAUACAUCAAUCAAGUAUUAAAAUGCAUGAGAAAGUAGAUAAACUUACCCCAAAACUUGUUUCCCAAAGUACUUACAACACUCUGACCACAAUAUAAAGCCGGUGAUCUAUACUGAUCUGCAGGACUACAUCAUUGUAAUUUGUUCAAACCAGCACCUAAAUUCCACACACUGCCUCACUACAUGCAGGUGAAAAGGCAUAAACCAGAACGCGACUGAACAAGUGAUAACAAGAUUGGCAUACCUAGUUUGGAACUUGUAUGCAGAGCUUGGGAAACAAGAAAGUUGGAGGUAGUGUUAUUGUGGAAAUCCACAUAGACCUGAAAAGAAGUUAUCCAACCAAUUAGAUAAAAGACCUUGUUUUGAGUAUAUGUGCACUUAAACCUUUCAUUAACAAUUGUUUUGUUGUUGGUCUGCACCAUAUGAAUCCAAAGUAAGUUUUCCCUUUUACUUUUGUUUUUUCAUGCAAAUGUGUAACAGAGAGAGGGUCUGAAAAGAGAGAUAGUUCAGAGGAAAGAGAGAACACAAGGGAAGGGGAAAUUGAUGUGUGAGAGAAAUAAAUGACCAAUAGUUCUAUACAUCCAGCAAGAUAUAGAUGACAACAUUCUAUGAAAUGAAAUCACACGAUCCUAUAGAGCGCAAUCAAACCAUUCCUAACUCAGUUUAGUAUAAAAGUACUACACUACUAAAGGAGAGCUAGUUCUCACACAGGAACAAAAUAAGAUCAAUCAUGCAGGGUCCGACAUUCAUAUAGAUACAAAAAUAUGUAUACAACAUCACGAC
rnacentral:lncRNA from 1 species